CUCUUCCUUAUUUCUCCUUCCUCCUUAAUCCCUUGACUCUUCGCUCUGAACCAUGAACUUAUUGCCCUCACCCAUCAACCCCAAUUCCCAUCUCCUGCUUUGCCGUAAAAUCAUGGACGCGAGAAAAAGGGCUUGGGAGAUGAUCCGAAUCCCGAAUCAAUGAGUAGAAACCGAAGGUCAGAAAAUGAUUUACCUGAUGCCCCUCUUUGGUGCCAUCAAUCAGCAAACGCUCAAAGGCCAACAUCCACUGGAUUGUGUAUAUGAGCCAGGAAAGUGGUAACCGAUAGAACAUGCUUCAUGCGAAAUGACAAUCAGGUUUUGAAGUCAU
rnacentral:sRNA from 1 species